GGCGGGAUAGCUCAGGUGGUAGAGCGAGGGCCUGAAAAGCCCUGCGUCCGCAGUUCAACUCUGCGUCCCGCCACCA
rnacentral:tRNA from 1 species